GGGUUAGUAGGUUGGUCAUGCCUCUGGUAUGUACUGGUCUCACUGAUUCCUCCUUCCUUAUGAACCGUAAUGCCAUUAAUUUGGUGUUGCGGGAAAUUUGGACUGUUACUUUGAAAAAUUAGAGUGUUUAAAGCAAGCUAACGCUUGAAUACAUUAGCAUGGAAUAAUGAAAUAGGACGUUCGAUCUUAUUUUGUUUGGUUUCUUAGGAUUGACGUAAUGAUUAA
rnacentral:rRNA from 1 species